rnacentral:rRNA from 1 species
GCAAAACGCGAAGAACCUUACCCACCUUUGACAUGUACGGAAUCCUUUAGAGAUAGAGGAGUGCUCGAAAGAGAGCCGUAACACAGGUGCUGCAUGGCUGUCGUCAGCUCGUGUCGUGAGAUGUUGGGUUAAGUCCCGCAACGAGCGCAACCCUUGCCAUUAGUUGCUACAUUUAGUUGAGCACUCUAAUGGGACUGCCGGUGACAAACCGGAGGAAGGUGGGGAUGACGUCAAGUCCUCAUGGCCCUUAUAGGUGGGGCUACACACGUCAUACAAUGGCUGGUACAAAGGGUCGCCAACCCGCGAGGGGGAGCUAAUCCCAUAAAGCCAGUCGUAGUCCGGAUUGGAGUCUGCAACUCGACUCCAUGAAGCCGGAAUCGCUGGUAAUCGUGGAUCAGAAUGUCACGGUGAAUACGUUCCCGGGUCUUGUACACACCG